rnacentral:rRNA from 1 species
CCUACGGGUGGCAGCAGUGAGGAAUAUUGGUCAAUGGGCGAGAGCCUGAACCAGCCAAGUCGCGUGAGGGAGUACUGCCCUAUGGGUUGUAAACCUCUUUUGUCGGGGAGCAAAAGCCGGACGUGUCCGGCUGUGAGAGUACUCGAAGAAUAAGCAUCGGCUAACUCCGUGCCAGCAGCCGCGGUAAUACGGAGGAUGCGAGCGUUAUCCGGAUUUAUUGGGUUUAAAGGGUGCGCAGGCGGAUUUUUAAGUCAGCGGUAAAAUCGUGGGGCUCAACCCCAUCCAGCCGUUGAAACUGGGGAUCUAGAGUGUGCGAGAGGUAAGCGGAAGGCGUGGUGUAGCGGUGAAAUGCAUAGAUAUCACGCAGAACCCCGAUUGCGAAGGCAGCAGACCGGUGCACAACUGACGCUCAGGCACGAAAGCGUGGGUAUCGAACAGGAUUAGAUACCCGAGUAGUC